rnacentral:rRNA from 1 species
UACGUAGGAGGCAAGCGUUGUCCGGAAUUACUGGGCGUAAAGCGCGUGUAGGUGGUGGGACAAGUCUGCUGUGAAAGCGCCUGGCUUAACCGGGCGAGGUCGGCGGAAACUGUCCGACUCGAGGACGGUAGAGGGGGGUGGAAUUCCCGGUGUAGUGGUGAAAUGCGUAGAGAUCGGGAGGAACACCUGUGGCGAAGGCGGCCCCCUGGGCCCGGCCCUGACACUGAGACGCGGAAGGCGUGGGGAGCGAACGGGG